GGCGGCGUGCUUAACACAUGCAAGUCGAGCGGAAAGGCCCUUCGGGGUACUCGAGCGGCGAACGGGUGAGUAACACGUGAGUAACCUGCCCCUGACUCUGGGAUAAGCCCGGGAAACUGGGUCUAAUACCGGAUACGACCCGCGGCGGCAUCGCCUGCGGGUGGAAAGUUUUUUCGGUUGGGGAUGGGCUCGCGGCCUAUCAGCUUGUUGGUGAGGUAGUGGCUCACCAAGGCGACGACGGGUAGCCGGCCUGAGAGGGCGACCGGCCACACUGGGACUGAGACACGGCCCAGACUCCUACGGGAGGCAGCAGUGGGGAAUAUUGCGCAAUGGGCGGAAGCCUGACGCAGCGACGCCGCGUGGGGGAUGACGGCCUUCGGGUUGUAAACCUCUUUCAGCAGGGACGAAGAUGACGUGUACCUGCAUGAAGAAGCGCCGGCUAACUACGUUCCAGCAGCCGCGGUAAUACGUAGGGCGCAAGCGUUGUUCCGGAAUUAUUGGGCGUAAAGAGCUCGUAGGUGGCUUGUCGCGUCGGAUGUGAAAGCUUGGGGCUUAACUCCAGGUCUGCAUUCGAUACGGGCUGGCUAGAGGUAGGUAGGGGCAAGCGGAAUUCCUGGUGUAGCGGUGAAAUGCGCAGAUAUCAGGAGGAACACCGGUGGCGAAGGCGGCUUGCUGGGCCUUACCUGACGCUGAGGAGCGAAAGCGUGGGGAGCGAACAGGAUUAGAUACCCUGGUAGUCCACGCUGUAAACGUUGGGCGCUAGGUGUGGGGGCCUUCCACGGUUUCCGCGCCGUAGCUAACGCAUUAAGCGCCCCGCCUGGGGAGUACGGCCGC
rnacentral:rRNA from 1 species